UACGUAGGGAGUAAGCGUUGUUCGGAAUUACUGGGCGUAAAGGGCAUGUAGGCGGGAAAGUAAGUUGGGGGUGAAAUCUACGGGCCCAACCCGUAAACUGCCUCCAAAACUGCUUUUCUUGAGUAUGGGAGGGGAGACUGGAAUUCCUGGUGUAGGGGUGAAAUCUGUAGAUAUCAGGAAGAACACCGGUGGCGAAGGCGAGUCUCUGGCCUAAUACUGACGCUGAUAUGCGAAAGCGUGGGGAGCAAACAGGAUUAGAUACCCUGGUAGUCCACGCCCUAAACGUUGUACACUAGAUGUAGGUGGCAUCAAUCCCACCUGUGCCGAAGCUAACGCAUUAAGUGUACCGCCUGGGGAGUAUGCUCGCAAGGGUGAA
rnacentral:rRNA from 1 species